UACGAAGGGUGCAAGCGUUACUCGGAAUUACUGGGCGUAAAGCGUGCGUAGGUGGUUCGUUAAGUCUGAUGUGAAAGCCCUGGGCUCAACCUGGGAAUGGCAUUGGAAACUGGCGACCUAGAGUGCGGUAGAGGGCAGUGGAAUUCCCGGUGUAGCAGUGAAAUGCGUAGAUAUCUGGAGGAACACCGGUGGCGAAGGCGGCAUCCUGGACCAAUAUUGACGCUGAGGAGCGAAAGCCAGGGGAGCAAACGGG
rnacentral:rRNA from 1 species